rnacentral:piRNA from 1 species
UUUAAACCUCACUGCUUGUCACCUAUUGCA